rnacentral:lncRNA from 1 species
UUAUUUUUUUUUCUUUAUCUUGUUUCUCCCCCAUUUCAGAGCUGUUUAAAGAAUUUAAAGGUAAACGUUGCCAAUGAUGAUGUCAAGGCAGAGACUUCUCCAUCACCCAAGAGAAAGCCAAUUACCUUCAACAUCAACAAUACCAUUGCCAAACCAUCAAACAGCCCAACGCUCCAUGUCAGUAAGGUAACAUCAAGAGCCGACAGCGUAGCAGACAGGAAGCCAUAUGGACAUUGGGUCCCCAUCAGCAGAUCUUCUUCCAAGAAAUAAUUAACACUGAGAUUCAACAGUGAUGUAAAAAGACUGUAUAUAGUGUAAAUAGUUUGUGUAGAGAUCACUUGGGUGGGGUGGGUUGUUAGGGAACAUCUGAAUUCAUCAUAAACGUUUUCUUUCAGAUAUAAAGUGGGUUUUGUGGAAGAAGGCAAGAGGAUGUCAUACAGGUGGGAAAUAUUGUGUAUUUUUUGGUGUUUUUGUGCUGUACAGUGGAUGUUACUAAAUAAAAAUGCCAAAAAAAAGAAAUAUUUAUUCUCUCAGAAAUUAUAUUAACAAUUUCCUGAGGUAA